UGUUCUACAUAAGUGCUGAAUGCGAUACUCAUCAGCGUACAACGAUGGUAGCAGAAGUGAUAACAGAUUAUUCGGCAUUGAUCAGUAACUUAACGGAUAUGAGCGUACCAUUCCAUGUACUGGAAUACACCAUUACACCGCACAAUAUUGGUCCUGAACGACUAAAACUGUCCGGUCGGUACGUAUUCCUUGCACCACUUGAUAAUUGCAUCUACUUUGUCGGGUUCGAGGACGUAAUAUAUGAAUCCGAUAUCAUUCAGAUCAUCAGUAAUCUAGUUGAAAAAAAUUCCAUUACCAGUAUCUACAGGAUUCAGCGUGGGAAUG